GUCCAGGGAUGGGCCUAGUGGACAUGGCAUCUGCCCGGUAAGUGGAACCCUGUCGGUUCGUUUCCCAUCCCUGGACA